CCCAAAGGUCCAAAGUCCU
rnacentral:misc_RNA from 1 species